UACGGGGGGAGCAAGCGUUGUUCGGAUUUACUGGGCGUAAAGGGCGCGUAGGCGGUCGUGACAAGUCACUUGUGAAAUCUCCGGGCUUAACUCGGAACGGUCAAGUGAUACUGUCGGACUAGAGUACAGAAGGGGCAACUGGAAUUCUCGGUGUAGUGGUGAAAUGCGUAGAUAUCGGGAGGAACACCAGUGGCGAAGGCGGCUUUCUGGUCUGUUCUUGACGCUGAGGCGCGAAAGCUAGGGUAGCAAACGGG
rnacentral:rRNA from 1 species